ACGCCAACAGUGAGAUUAUGAACGCCCAAACGGUCGUCCUUAGACUUGCAAUGAAUUAACAGUGUUUGAUCUUUGCUUAGCCCAUUGAUGACAUGUAUGUGACAUGUCUUAAACCACAGUAUGAAGUUUGUUAGGUUCAGAACUAGAUGAAAUUAUAGUUAUUACUUGAAUAAGCAUGAACAACAUAAUAUUUUUACGAAAAUUAUUCAUGGUUUUCUUUUGGCUUUUAGUUUGUUUUAGAAUGUUAUUGUCUCUCUUUUUUUUCAUUAUCAUAAUUAUAAAUAAUGGAAGUUGAAAAAAGAUUAACGCUUCGUUUGGUUCAAUGUAAUGGCUUUGCCAUUACAAGACGUUCCAAUUUCUACAGUAAAGCAGAGGUUUGGUUCGUUGGAAAGCUUAAAACGCCGAAUGGCAAUUACAGCUUCAUUCCGAAAAUCGUUGAAUAGCCAUUCAGGGGAGGAGGUGCCGAAUUGGCUAUUCCAACCUCUCCGCCGAAUGACCUUCUUUUCGCUUCCGAAAACACCCUUACGCUGAAAAUUUUCAACGGUUUCACUUUUUUUUUUCCUUAGCCAUCAACAAUCUCACGCUCAAAUCAACCUAAAAGGAAGCAAAUCAACUUGAAGGCCUAAGACCCAGACUUUGUUUACCACUCCUAAGCGAUUCCAACCUAUCACUGGAAUCGCCUGGUGCUCAGUAAGGCCUUGCUUGUUUUGAUGCGGAUACAAUAUGCCAAGACAAAGUUUGUAUCGCCAAAAAUAAUGGAAACUUUGUUCCCAGAAAAAAGAAGAAGAAACAAGAAGAAAAAGUCAUCCUUUGGUAUUUGAGGUUCUCAGCAAAGAGAGACUUCGCAGUCUUUACAACUGUUAGAGAGGCAGAGAUCAUAAAUGACAACUCUACAAAGCAAAUACCCUUUACUGGAUUGAUACUGGCGGGUGGAUUACUGACAAUGUUGAUAUUGUGGUUACGGUACUUUUUUAUUGACUCUCAAGCACAUUUCAUUAGUCCAUCAAUAACCUAUUUCUUUCAUUUCAUUUUCUCCUUCUCGAUUCACCAGAUCUUUCUCAGUUACAGGCAAACCAACCAACUCAAAUUGACCAUGCUCGAUGCGAUAAUGAAGUCAAUCCAGAGUGCUCAGUUCAGACUGCCUAUUGUGAGGAAACAAAAGGUGGCGGUAACGAUUUUGUCAAGUGAUGCUACAACAAGCGCAGGAGGAUAUCUGUGAAUAGGAGGUAAGGAUACCCACAGAUUCUGCCAUCAGAUGGGAGUUGUGCCAAGGUGAAACCGAAAUGGUGUUUUUCUUUUUUUGGAUGCUGUCAACACAUGAUCACAGCUGCAGGGCAUCUGAGUUUUCUUCAUGGAUGUGUAAAUUUCUUGUACAGAACAUUUCAAAAUCAGAUAAGUUGUGUUUAUAUCAAGUAUGAACAGGGGAAAUUAUACCUUAUAGGAUGAAGGAUGCAGAUCUCAUUUUGAUUACCCUUUUGUCCAUUAAUUCCCUUGUUUCAUGUUCUUUUUGAUGGGUUUGGCAAUUAAAAUAUAUCAUAAGUUAAACUGGAA